UAUUGUAUGUUCCCAAAUGAUCCCCGGGUUAGCUCAUUUAAUUGAUUGCACCACUACUGGACUAAUAAGUAAGAUAACUAGCAAUUUGGGUCAAAAGCCUAAAUAUAUCAUUUAGUGGGAGGCUCCAUUUAAUUAGCUUUUGUAUAAGGGGCCUUAUGUUAUUUUACAAGGUGGGUCCCCUAUUGAAAAAGCAAAUAACGUGGGUUUUGAUUUUUCAUUAUUUGGAGCCUAGGGUUUUCACUAAAGGGAGAUAUAUAAGGCUUAUUUUUCUCAACAGAAAAAAGAGAGAAGCCACUUUAUACAGAUCAGAGAAAAAGAUUUUUCUCUCCAUUGUUGAGAGAAAAAUUUUCUCGUGCUAGUUGCUUUGGUAGUGAUAAAGGCGCCCACACGUCAAGUGCAGAUCGAACCUGAGUCAUAACCUGGAAGAUCAUUGGAGACAGUUCGUGAUCUAACAAGCGUGGUGGUGACGGAUCGUGAUCUAACAAGAGUGGUGGUGGCGGAUCGUGAUCUAGGAGCCUAAAUCACUUCAGCGGAAAAAAGCCAACUCAGAUUUUCAAGGUACGAUUUCUGAAUUACGUAUUCCUAUAUAUUAUAUGAGAGCGGUCCAUAAAAAGGUUUUAUAAAAAUUUAAAAACCGGAUUUUUCCCUACAAUUGGUAUCAGAGCCAUCUCAUAUUAAUAUAUAAGAAUUUCGUAUGAAAUCAUUCUUGAAAUUUAUGUAUUAGAGUGGCACAAUUUAUUCAGAUAUAUAUUAAUUGUUUAAUAUAUGAAUAAAGCAUGUUUUGGUUUGUCUUAAUUCAUGGUUAGAUUUUCCGUUGUAUUUUUUCUUUGGAUCUGUAACAGGAGGGGUGGUUUUUUAUCACCAUGUUUCCCUCUUGAUUUAUUUUACUGUUAUAGAAUUUUUGUAAGCCAAAAUUGGCAUAGGAAAUUUGUAAUUCAUCACUGGAAAAUGAGAUCAAAACGACGGAAGCCGGAAUUUUUUUUUCAGCGGCGGCCACCAACCAGCAACGCAAAAACACUCGCGCAGCAGCAACGCACAGCAGGCAGCGCGCGCGGCCAGCAUGGCCAGCAGCGCACGCUGCGCGCACAGCAAGCAGCGAGCGAGCGCUGGCGCACGCAGCACGCGCAGCUGCAGCGCGAGCUGGCCAGUGUGGCCAGUGGCGCGCGCUGCAUGUGCAGCAGAAGCGUGCGCCGGUUUGGUUCGUUUCCGGCGACAUGGCGGCUGUUGGUUCGCGUCGGAGAUGGCUGGAAACCGGGAACAGCAGCUGGUGCUUUUUGGAGAUGGCGGCUGGGGAAGAAGAGGAGAAGAAAAAUGUGAUUUUAGGGUUCCAUGGUUUUUAUCAUGGAGGUCCCUAUAGUUUCAUAUUUUUUCAGUUGGGCAGAAACGUUUUUAAUUUGUUGCAUUUAAGUCCAAAAACAGUUUUGGAUUUAAUGAAUCCUAGUUUUAGGCCCAAUUUCAAUUGGGCUUAAUGGAUUAAAAAUGCAUAGACAAAAUUAAAUACAUUAAAUUUAUUUUUGGUCCAAAAGUUUUAUUUUAAUAAAAAUAAUAAUAAAACUAUUUAUUUAUUUAUUUCUUUUUAAAAUUAAAAAUUGGACCAAUUAUAAAUUUAAAAGCCCAAUUUCCCUUAGUCCAUUAACAAAGACAAGAUUAUAGAAGAUGGACAUUGACAAGAAGCCCAAUGAAGAUUAGGCUUAGGUUAAUGUAUUUUUCAUUAUUAGGAAAGCCAUGAAUUAAGAUUAUUUAAUUGUUUUUCUAUGUGUUAUGUUUUGGAUGAUAACAUGCCAUGAUAACAUGCCAUAUAGAAUAGGUAGUGCCACUCUGUGCAUAAUGAUACAUGUCAUUCAUUAAUUAUGAAUUUCAUUAUAUUGUUUGAAAUUUGCACAUGCUUAAUAAUAUUUGAUAUCAUCUAGAUAAUAUUAUAGGAAGCAUGCAAUUAACAAUAUGUAUGUUUUAAAAAGGAAAAACCAAUUUUAAAAUAUUGAGUGGGAGAGGGAAAAUUCAAGAUAAUUUUCCCACGGGCUCCAUUGUUAGUUCAAUAAUAAAAUUAUAUAUAUACCUCGACUUCAUGAUACGGUGAUGCUCCCUACGGAGGGUAUAUAUAUUAGAUAUUUUAUUUGAUGAACUUCUUCAAAGAUAAAAUUGAAAUAUUUUUCAAUCGAUUGUUCACCCCAACGGUGACUAUUGAUAUGAAAAAUACGUAGAUUGAAACAAUGGUUAUACACUCAACUAAAGUUUGUUAUUAACCUUCCCAACGAAGCUCUGUUAACGAAUUUAGGCCCAAAAAGAUAACGAUAAUUAUUUAUCAUGUCUCUACAUGAAAGUAAAUAAUCCAAUGGGUAAUUGGGUCUAGUAAGUAUAGACAUGACUUCCCCACCGGAUAGCUUGUCAAAGCAGUACUAGAUUAUCGUUACAAUAAAUUAAAAUGCAUUUAUGGUUUUUUGCAUUUUUGUCAUUUAUUGUGAAUAUUGUUUCAAAGUAUUUAUGCAUGUGUAUUUUGUUUUUUCAGAAAAUGUCUUCCAUCAACCCAUUAUUAAUUAUCAUUGUUAAAAAUGAACUCACUGGCGAAAAUUAUUUAGAUUGGAAACGCAAUCUAUUUAAUAUUCUCACUGCUAAGGGAAGCAAAUAUGUGUUGACCCAGCCUUGCCCUCCUGAACCAUCGUUAUACGAUUAUAGAAAUCAGAGGGAGACUUAUGAGAAAUGGUGCGAAGCUAACAAAAUGGCUAAGCGCUAUAUAUUGGCUUCGAUUUCUGUGGAACUGCAUAAGAAACAUCGGAGCAUGGAAACAGCCACUGAAAUAAUGGCUAGUCUUCAUCAGAUGUUUGGACAAAAUACCCAUUUUGCCAGAGAAGCAGCAUUAAAACGUAUUACGGAUACCAAGAUGGGAGAGGGCACAAAAGUUCGUGAUCAUGUCCUCAAAAUGAUGGACUAUUUGAAUGAGGUAGAGAUUCAUGGUGUUCAAAUCAAUGAUAAAUCAAAGAUUAACAUGGUGAUUGAAUCUUUACCUGAUACAUUCAAAGAGUUUAAGGUCAGUUAUAUCUUAAACAAUAAAGAUAUGACCUUAAUUGAAUUAAUGCACGAACUACAUGCUAUAGAAGAAUUUUAUCAUAGCAGAAAACUUCCUGAAAAAGGAUUCUCUUCAAGGCUUAAGUCGAAAGACAAGAAUGAGCAAGCAAGAGUUGGGAUCGGCAAACUGUCCACUAAAAGAAGUGGCAAGCCAAAAGGCAAGUGUUACAAAUGUGGACAGAAGGGUCACUGGAAGAAAGAUUGUCCUAAGAUUAUUAAAAUCAGGUAUAGGAAAUCUUUAAGCUUCCUAAUUAGUUCAGAUUUCUAUUGAUUCAUACAAUAAUGAAUUCUGAGAUAACUAAUAUUAUUUGUAAUUCAUUUAUUUGGUUUUCAGGAAACCAAGAGAUUAAGUGAAGAAAGCUUCAAACAGCAGUUGAGGACGUGCUAGUUUAUAUCAAUUGAAAGACUAGAUCAAUUUUACAAGACUUUAGUUUUGAUAUUUGUCUUUAGAGGAAUUUAAUUUUGGUGGCUUGUUUUAAUAAACAGGAGUACACUGUUAUUUAUGGAUCCUCUGUUUAUUACUUAUUUUGGUUAUUUAUAAAGACAAUUUAUAUCAUAGAAGUACAUUGAUCUAUUCAAAGUAAGAUAUAAUUAUAAAAAGUAUAUGCAUUUAUCUAAGAAAAGAAAUGUUUCUUCUAACCAAAAAUCACCUCUGAUAUUUAUGCUUAAGUCAUAUAAACUAUAAUAAGAUUUUAAGAAAAUGAUUAAUGAUAGACUUGUUGGCCUAUCAAGAUUGAUCAUUGUAACUCUAUAAAUCUUAUUUAGAAAAGUAAUAUGACAAGGAUGCUCUUCAUGAGCUAAAAGCAUAACAUUGUAUUUGAUGAUUUAGCGCAUACAAAUGUAUACGGACUAAUCAGUUUACAUGUUAUAAGAGGUUGUGAGUAUUCUAUCAAUCUUGUUGAUGAAUAUUCAUUUUAUUUAUGUUUGUCUAAGUGCGUCAUGAUUCCAUUGCUUUUGAAAUUCAAAAGAGAACGUGGAUAAGACAGAAGCAAUUAGACAGGAACAUAAAAGAACUUCGAUAUGAUCGAAACAAAGAAUAUCUCUAUGGAGAAUUCAAGUACUAUUUGGUUGUCAAUGAACACUAUGAUACAAUAGUGUAAUUAAAUGGAGAAACAAGAUUCUUUUGGAUAAGAUAAGAUAUAUACUAAGUGGUUUAUCAUUUACCUUUUUGAUUUCAGAUACUAGAAUUUGAAACUACAAAGUUUAUUGAACUAAGUUUCAUCUAUCUCGGUGUCUACUACUCCAAGAUAUUAUGAAAAAGUCACAAACAUAGUUUGAGACACAUUCGUAUUUGGAGUUUACUAGAAUCAGAGAUAGAGCAGAUGAAUUCGUGUUCAGAAGCUUGCAUGUUUUAGGUAUCUUAAAGGAAUAAGGGAAAGUCUGAAUUAUAGUCCUCAAGAUAGGAAUGUAUUUAUAGAAAUAUUAUUUACUUUCUUUGAGGAAGACUAUAUAAUGACUUAUAACCUAAGAGUAAGGUAAAACUAGAGAAAUAAAAGAGAUCAGGUUGAUGCUCAGCUUUCAACACCUGUUAUAGAACAGGAAGAACAGCAACAACCAGCUGAUCAGUACAGGAUUAUCCUUGAACAACCAUCACUUUUAGAACCUCGUCGUAGUGGGAGGGUAACUAGGUUACCUGAGAGAUACAUGCUUUUGGGAGAAACCUAUACGGCUAUCUCAGAUGAACAUGUACAAGAUCCCACUAGUUACAACGAAGCUCUAAUAGAUAGAUAUGUUGAAUUUUGGAAAAAGGCCAUGAAUCAAGAAAUGGAAUCUAUGUAUUCCAAUAAAGUCUGGGAACUUGUAGAGGCACCAAAUGGGGUAAAACCUAUAGGGUGCAAGUGGAUCUACAAGAGAAAAAGAGGAGUAGACGGAAAGGUGGAAACAUUUAAAGCAAGAUUAGUAGCCGAAGGGUUUACUCAGAAAGAAGGAAUCAAUUAUGAGGAAACCUUUUCUCCGGUUGCUAUGCUUAAAUCCAUCAGGAUUCUGCUCUCCAUUGCUGCAGUGCUAGAUUAUGAAAUUUGGCAAAUGGAUGUCAAGACUGUCUUUUUUAAACGGGCAUCUUGAAGAAAACAUCUACAUGCAGCAACCAGAUGGAUUUAUACAAAAAGGCCAAGAACACAUGGUAUGUAAGUUGCAGAGAUCCAUUUAUGGAUUGAAGCAAGCAUCCCGGUCAUGGAACAUCAGAUUUGAUCAAGCGAUAAAAUCGUUUGGAUUCAUUCAGAACAUUGAUGAACCAUGUGUUUACAAGAAAAUUCAAGAAAAAUUUGUAACCUUCCUAAUUCUUUAUGUAGAUGAUAUUCUUCUAAUUGGAAACGAUAUAGGAGUGUUGACUACAAUAAAGAGUUGGUUAGCAAAACAAUUUGAUAUGAAAGACCUGAGAGAGGCAAGUUAUAUUCUUGGUAUCAAGUUACUACGAGACCGGAAGAAUAAAACUUUAGCCUUGUCUCAAGCGGACUAUAUCGAUAAGAUAUUGGCUAGAUUUAGCAUGGAAAAUUCCAAGACUGGUUUAUUACCAUUCAGACAUGGAAUUACAUUCUCUAAGGAUCAAUCACCUAAAACAUCUGAAGAGAUAGAGAGAAUGAGACGAGUUCCCUAUGCAACAGCUGUGGGAAGUCUCAUGUAUGCCAUGCUUUGUACUAGGCCAGACAUCUGUUUUGCGGUAUGGAUGGUUAGCAGAUAUCAAUUUAAUCCUGGACCUCAAUACUGGACUGCAGUCAAGCAUAUUAUAAAGUAUCUGAAAAGAACUAAAAAUUAUAUGCUUGUGUAUUCUGGUGAUGAACUUAUUCCAGUGGGUUAUACUGAUUCUGACUUUAAGUCAAAUAGGGAUUCCAGAAAAUCUACUUCUGGCUAUGUGUUUGCAUUGGGAAGUGGAGCUAUUAGUUGGAUGAGUGUGAAACAAUCUUGUAUCACAGACUCAAUAACUAAAGCUGAAUAUGUGGCUACAUCUGAAGCUGCAAAAGAAGCUAUAUGGCUCUGCAAGUUCCUACGAAAUCUUGAGGUGGUACCUGUUGUAACUGCACCCCUUAAACUAUUUUGUGAUAAUGGUGGUGCGGUAGCUCAAUCUAAGAAACCAAGGAACCACAAGAAACAAAACAUAUUGAAAAGAAGUAUCAUCUUAUAAGGGAAUAGUGUAGAAAGGUUAUAUGAAAGUACCCCAAAUGGCAUUAGAUGCUAAAUUGCAGAUCUUAUUACAAUGGCCAUUAGUGGGAAACCUUUAUAACCUGCACUUAGAGCCCUAGAGCAUGUGCAAUAUGCCAGAUAUGCUUUGAGAGCUAGUGGGAGAUUGUUGGGAAAAUAUGCUCUUUAAAAGCAUAUGUGUUUAUUUAAUUGUAAUAAACAAUUUUUUCUGAUUAAUAAAAUAAAUGAGGUAUUUUAUUCAAAUAUCUUAAUUGCAUUAAUAUUUGUAUUAAAGUCCAUUUAAUCAUAUUAUAUGUAUUUAUGUGAUCACCAUGUGGAUUCACAGAAGACAUAAAUACAAGUUAUCUUAUGAUUAAAUAAAUUUAGUUCGCAGUUGAUAAAUAAAGUUGGGCACUUUAUUUAGGUAUAGACUGUAAUAAAUUCAUUGAAUGAUUUGUCUUAAUCAUGUAUGAAUUUAUUGAUGUAGUACGACUACAUUGAACAGGAUCACAUAUGAGAUUUAAUUAACUUUGUAAUAACUGUCAGACUUAUUAAAUCUCAUAGGCGUUGAUUUUACUGUAAUCUUAAUCUUGAGUUAAUUAUGAUUUCAUGAUUGUGAUUGUUAUUUCAUUUGAGUUACCUAUGGGCACGACACAUCCUUGUGAUCAAGAUUACCCGGUAUCUUGGUGGGAGCAAUUAUGAGUAUUGGAGUUAUGGAUUAACAAUAUAGAAUUUGUACAACACAUCUCUUGAUAGGUUUUCGGUACUUGAUCAUAGAAUUCUCUGGCCAGAGUGUGUCAACAUAUUUAGUAUGUUGAAAAUGAUCAUUAGAGAAAACCAGUAAGGAUCAAGGAAUAAGAUGUUAUUAAAUUGAUUGGACAGUUGAGAUAUCAAUUUAAUUAACGAUGUGGUACAAAGGAUUGUGCAGUAAAGAAAUCAAUGUGGCUUGGGACGAAUUAUUAUUCGAGCAUACAAUUAUGGAAGUCAGUUCCAAUCUUUUAGUGGAGUAGAUUUGGAAUUAAAUAAUUGGGCUAGUUUAAUUACAUGCCUAAUUAUUGUAGCCACUAUUGUAUGUUCCCAAAUGAUCCCCGGGUUAGCUCAUUUAAUUGAUUGCACCACUACUGGACUAAUAAGUAAGAUAACUAGCAAUUUGGGUCAAAAGCCUAAAUAUAUCAUUUAGUGGGAGGCUCCAUUUAAUUAGCUUUUGUAUAAGGGGCCUUAUGUUAUUUUACAAGGUGGGUCCCCUAUUGAAAAAGCAAAUAACGUGGGUUUUGAUUUUUCAUUAUUUGGAGCCUAGGGUUUUCACUAAAGGGAGAUAUAUAAGGCUUAUUUUUCUCAACAGAAAAAAGAGAGAAGCCACUUUAUACAGAUCAGAGAAAAAGAUUUUUCUCUCCAUUGUUGAGAGAAAAAUUUUCUCAUGCUAGUUGCUUUGGUAGUGAUAAAGGCGCCCACACGUCAAGUGCAGAUCGAACCUGAGUCAUAACCUGGAAGAUCAUUGGAGACAGUUCGUGAUCUAACAAGCGUGGUGGUGACGGAUCGUGAUCUAACAAGAGUGGUGGUGGCGGAUCGUGAUCUAGGAGCCUAAAUCACUUCAGCGGAAAAAAGCCAACUCAGAUUUUCAAGGUACGAUUUCUGAAUUACGUAUUCCUAUAUAUUAUAUGAGAGCGGUCCAUAAAAAGGUUUUAUAAAAAUUUAAAAACCGGAUUUUUCCCUACAUCAUGUCCUUAAAAUGUGGUGGCAGCUCCAGAUCUUGAAACCCUUUCAUUUGCUGCAGUUCAUGAAAGUAUCACUCAAAUUAAUAAUGGCCAAAAAAACAAAAAAGAAAAGAAAAAGAAAUCCCUCUGCUUCACAUUACAUGAACAAAAACAUAUAAAGCAAAAGUUCAAAAAGUGGGAAAUUUCUAAGCUUCAGGGAAGUGGUACCUGAAUCUUCACGAACUCUUGUUUACUUAUUAUUUUAUUUUAUUUUUGUUUCUGUCCAGUCAAAUAAAACAAACAAACAGCUACAACAACGAAACCAAAAAGAAAAAAGAAGGAUUUGACAAUGCUAAUAGAUCUGAGAACAGAAGCAGCUAAACCACAAUGGAUUCUGUUACAAGCCUACAAGUAAUUUCUUUAAUAACAAAUUAAAUAAAUACAUUUAAAUCUAUUUAUUAUUUUCAACUCUAAUAUAUUAUUUUAAAUUCAAAAAUGAAAAACUAUUUUGUCAGCCAAAAAAAAAAAAUAGUUGUGAGGAUUAGAGAUGGCCAAUGGGCCGGGCGGCACGAGACACGGCACGGGCACGACAUGACACGAGCAGGUUUCGAUAGGGCAUGCAGCACAACACGCACGUGGGCCAUGCUGGGCCUAGAAUUUUAGGCAUACGAACCUUAAAAGUACGGCACGAUUAGAGAUGGGUCAAAGCACGGCACGCGAAAAGACACGUAAUAAGCACACUUCAUUAGUGGGCUAAGCACUCGACUCAUGGGCCAAAGUAUAUCAAAGUAAAAUUUUUUAAUGAAAAAUAAAAAUAAAAUAUCAUGAUUUUACAAAUAUCU
rnacentral:lncRNA from 1 species